rnacentral:rRNA from 1 species
UACAUAGGGCGCAAGCGUUGUCCGGAAUUAUUGGGCGUAAAGAGCUCGUAGGCGGUUUGUCGCGUCUGCUGUGAAAACUCGAGGCUCAACCUCGGGCUUGCAGUGGGUACGGGCAGACUAGAGUGCGGUAGGGGGUGACUGGAAUUCCUGGUGUAGCGGUGGAAUGCGCAGAUAUCAGGAGGAACACCGAUGGCGAAGGCAGGUCACUGGGCCGCAACUGACGCUGGAGGAG